GCAUAUCAAUAAGCGGAGGAAAAGAAACUAACAAGGAUUCCCCUAGUAACGGCGAGUGAAGCGGGAACAGCUCAAGCUUAAAAUCUACAUUUUGUAAAAAGAAUGUCGAGUUGUAGCUUUUGGAGGCACUAUUGAGUGGCUAAUCUUGGUAAAAGUUCUUUUGAAUAAGGCAUCAGAGAGGGUGAAAAUCCCGUAUUUGACCAGGAAUUAAUUAGUUGCGAUAUCAAGUGUUUUCUUUGAGUCGGGUUGUUUGGGAAUGCAGCCCUAAUUGGGAGGUAAAUUUCUUCCAAAGCUAAAUAUCAGCAAGAGACCGAUAGCAUACAAGUACCGUGAGGGAAAGAUGAAAAGCACUUUGAAAAGAGAGUGAAAGGUACGUGAAAUUGUUGGAAGGGAACCGGUUGAUGACCAAGCUUUUUUGGCCAGAAUUUAUUUCUGGUUAAAGGGUCAACAUCGGUUGUUUAUGACUAGAAGGGAUUUUUACCAGUUGAUGUGGGAAAUGUAUAAAGUUUGGCCGGAAUUUAUUUCCAGUUAGAUUUUAGUUAUAGACCCACGCAGAUUGGUUUUUCAAGCUCCGAUAGUCGUGGCGACCGAGGAAUGCAGUGUGUUCUCGGCGAAUUGUCUAGAUGUAUUGUAGAAUUUAUCUGGGCGUAGAUAGCAUUGCUGACUAGGUCUGUUAUUUUAUAUAUAAGCUGGGGUAAUUUGACCAAAAAACACUUUGGAUGUUGGCGAAAAGGCAUCAAUCGACCCGUCUUGAAACACGG
rnacentral:rRNA from 1 species